rnacentral:tRNA from 1 species
CGGGGCGUGGCUCAAUUGGUAGAGUGCCGGCUUUGGGAGCCGGAGGUUCCGAGUUCGAGUCUCGGCGCCCCGACCA